rnacentral:ncRNA from 1 species
CGGUGUUCCGGAGAAUUCCGCACAAAUUGCGGAUACCGAAGGUGUAAAGCAUUUUGCUAAUCUCUCAGGUUAAAGGACGGAAG